rnacentral:rRNA from 1 species
CUAAUACCGUAUACGCCCUACGGGGSAAAAAUUUAUUGCUAUUAGAUGAGCCUAUAUUAGAUUAGCUAGUUGGUGGAGUAAUAGCCUACCAAGGCAAUGAUCUAUAGCUGAUCUGAGAGGAUGAUCAGCCACACUGGAACUGAGWUAYGSYCYAGACUCCUACGARAGGCAGCAGUGGGGAAUAUUGGACAAUGGGCGAAAGCCUGAUCCAGCCAUGCCGCAUGAGUGAAGAAGGCCUUUGGGUUGUAAAGCUCUUUUAGUGAGGAAGAUAAUGACGGUACUCACAGAAGAAGUCCUGGCUAACUCCGUGCCAGCAGCCGCGGUAAUACGGAGAGGGCUAGCGUUAUUCGGAAUUAUUGGGCGUAAAGGGCGCGUAGGCUGGUUAAUAAGUUAAAAGUGAAAUCCCGAGGCUUAACCUUGGAAUUGCUUUUAAAACUAUUAAUCUAGAGAUUGAAAGAGGAUAGAGGAAUUCCUGAUGUAGAGGUA